rnacentral:rRNA from 1 species
GAUGAACGCUGGCGGCGUGCCUAAUACAUGCAAGUCGAGCGAACGGACGAGAAGCUUGCUUCUCUGAUGUUAGCGGCGGACGGGUGAGUAACACGUGGAUAACCUACCUAUAAGACUGGGAUAACCUCGGGAAACCGGAGCUAAUACCGGAUGAUAUUUUGAACCGCAUGGUUCAAAAGUGAAAGACGGUCUUGCUGUCACUUAUAGAUGGAUCCGCGCUGCAUUAGCUAGUUGGUAAGGUAACGGCUUACCAAGGCAACGAUGCAUAGCCGACCUGAGAGGGUGAUCGGCCACACUGGAACUGAGACACGGUCCAGGCUCCUACGGGAGGCAGCAGUAGGGAAUCUUCCGCAAUGGGCGAAAGCCUGACGGAGCAACGCCGCGUGAGUGAUGAAGGUCUUCGGAUCGUAAAACUCUGUUAUUAGGGAAGAACAUAUGUGUAAGUAACUGUGCACAUCUUGACGGUACCUAAUCAGAAAGCCACGGCUAACUACGUG